AGGUGGAGAGUCAUUAUGAUUUCCAAGAUAUAGCCAGCGUGGUGGCUCUGGCAAAAACCUACGCUACCACUGAGCCUUACAUCGACUCCAAGUACGACGUCAGGAUCCAGAAGAUAGGCAGCAAUUACAAAGCCUACAUGAGAACCUCCAUUUCCGGCAACUGGAAGGCGAACACAGGAUCUGCAAUGCUGGAGCAGAUCGCCAUGUCUGAUCGAUACCGCAUGUGGGCAGAUUCCUGCGCUGAGAUGUUCGGGGGUCUGGACAUCUGUGCAGUGAAGGCAGUCCACGGCAAAGAUGGGAAAGACUACAUCAUUGAGGU